rnacentral:rRNA from 1 species
GAUGAACGCUGCGGCGUGCCUAAUACAUGCAAGUAGAACGCUGAAGCUUGGUGCUUGCACCGAGCGGAGGAGUUGCGAACGGGUGAGUAACGCGUAGGUAACCUGCCUCUUAGCGGGGGAUAACUAUUGGAAACGAUAGCUAAUACCGCAUAAAAGUCGACAUUGCAUGAUGUUGACUUGAAAGGUGCAACUGCAUCACUAAGAGAUGGACCUGCGUUGUAUUAGCUAGUUGGUGAGGUAACGGCUCACCAAGGCGACGAUACAUAGCCGACCUGAGAGGGUGAUCGGCCACACUGGGACUGAGACACGGCCCAGACUCCUACGGGAGGCAGCAGUAGGGAAUCUUCGGCAAUGGACGGAAGUCUGACCGAGCAACGCCGCGUGAGUGAAGAAGGUUUUCGGAUCGUAAGGCUCUGUUGUAAGAGAAGAACGAGUGUGAGAGUGGAAAGUUCACACUGUGACGGUAACUUACCAGAAAGG